AGAAUCAACGCUGGCGGCGUGCCUCAGACAUGCAAGUCGAACGCGAAAGUCCCCUUCGGGGGGCAAGUAGAGUGGCGCACGGGUGAGUAACACGUAGGUAAUCUACCUUUGGAUGGGGAAUAACAACCGGAAACGGUUGCUAAUACCGCAUAAUGCAGCGGCACCUAAUGGUGACAGUUGUUAAAGCGGGGGAUCGAAAGACCUCGCGUCUGAAGAGGAGCCUGCGGCGGAUUAGCUAGUUGGUAGGGUAACGGCCUACCAAGGCUACGAUCCGUAGCCGGCCUGAGAGGGCGUCGGCCACACUGACACUGACAUACGGGUCAGACUCCUACGGGAGGCAGCAGUCGGGAAUUUUGGGCAAUGGGCGAAAGCCUGACCCAGCAACGCCGCGUGAAGGAUGAAAGUCCCUCGGGAUGUAAACGUUCGCAAGAACGGAAGAAGUAAAGUAGGGAACAAUACCCCUAUAGACGACGUACCGUUAGUAAGCUCCGGACUAACUCCGCGACCGACGCAGCCGCGGUAA
rnacentral:rRNA from 1 species